UGGAGGAAAGUAGGGGAUCGAAAGACCUUAUGCUUUUGGAGCGGCCGAUGUCUGAUUAGCUAGUUGGUAAGGUAAUGGCUUACCAAGGCGACGAUCAGUAGUUGGUCUGAGAGGACGACCAGCCACACUGGGACUGAGACACGGCCCAGACUCCUACGGGAGGCAGCAGUGGGGAAUUUUGGACAAUGGGCGCAAGCCUGAUCCAGCAAUGCCGCGUGAGUGAAGAAGGCCUUCGGGUUGUAAAGCUCUUUCAGUUGAAAAGAAAAAGCCGUGACUAAUAAUCAUGGUUCAUGACGGUAUCAACAGAAGAAGCACCGGCUAACUACGUGCCAGCAGCCGCGGUAAUACGUAGGGUGCAAGCGUUAAUCGGAAUUACUGGGCGUAAAGGGUGCGCAGGCGGUUCUGUAAGUCAGAUGUGAAAUCCCCGGGCUUAACCUGGGAACUGCGUUUGAAACUACAAAGCUAG
rnacentral:rRNA from 1 species